GGUGACACAAAGCUUGUAUUUAAAAACAAAAAACCACUUUUUUCACUGUUAUAGAUUGAAUAGCAGUCAGUGUCCUUAAAGCGGGUGUGUUACGCUAACAGUGGAUACGGUGACCAUUGCCACCACUUAGAUCUGGUGACACAAAGCUUGUAUUUAAAAAAAACAACCACUUUUUUCACUGUUAUAGAUUGAAUAGCAGUCAGUGUCCUUAAAGCGGGUGUGUUACGCUAACAGUGGAUACGGUGACCAUUGCCACCACUUAGAUCUGGUGACACAAAGCUUGUAUUUAAAAAAAAACAACCACUUUUUUCACUGUUAUAGAUUGAAUAGCAGUCAGUGUCCU